rnacentral:rRNA from 1 species
UGGGGAAUUUUGGACAAUGGGCGAAAGCCUGAUCCAGCAAUGCCGCGUGAGUGAAGAAGGCCUUCGGGUUGUAAAGCUCUUUUGUCAGGGAAGAAACGGUGAGGGCUAAUAUCCCUUGCUAAUGACGGUACCUGAAGAAUAAGCACCGGCUAACUACGUGCCAGCAGCCGCGGUAAUACGUAGGGUGCAAGCGUUAAUCGGAAUUACUGGGCGUAAAGCGUGCGCAGGCGGUUUUGUAAGUCUGAUGUGAAAUCCCCGAGCUCAACCUGGGAAUUGCAUUGGAGACUGCAAGGCUAGAAUCUGGCAGAGGGGGGUAGAAUUCCACGUGUAGCAGUGAAAUGCGUAGAUAUGUGGAGGAACACCGAUGGCGAAGGCAGCCCCCUGGGUCAAGAUUGACGCUCAUGCACGAAAGCGUGGGGAGCAAACA